rnacentral:lncRNA from 1 species
UAACAUUUGUAUUACUCUGUCCUGUGCCUGCAGAUAGAGCCUGCUUAUCUCCUGCAUCUCGCUCCUUUCUCUCCACUCUGCUGGGAGCCGUCCCUAUCUGAAGCCACGCUGGCAAUCCGCUUCCCUGCAAUUGUUUCGAUCGAGGGGAAAAAUUAAUUUCUGCCUAUCGUUAAUUGAGAGAAUUGUGUGGAGGGCGAGGGAAGGGGAGGGGGAAGGAGAGGAAGGAAGGAGGCGGAGGGGAGCAAUCGUGUUAUUAACCGUGUCCCUUUCAUAAGCAAAUAUUCUGAUUGCCAUCAGUGAGAUGAGAGGCUUAUUAAUGCAGGAAGCAGAGAGGUGAUUAGAGAACUUUCAAGAGCUAUUGAGCUAAGCGGGAGGGAGGGUUGCAGGGAUCUGGAGGCUGUGGGAAUUUGGGAAGGACUGGGUUGGGGGAAAAGCCACUGGCCUUGUAGAUGGGCUUUCCUGCCCCUUCUCAGCCCCUCUCCCCAGGACUCACUUUCAAACAGUCCCCAACACUCACAGCUGGAGUUGGGAAGAAUGCAAAAAAAAAUGGGAUCUCGCUGUAUUGCCCAGAUUGGACUCAAACCCCUCCUGGGCUCAAGUCAUCCUCCUGCCUCAGCCUCCUGAGGACCUGGAACUACACGUGUGGGCCGCCAUCUCUCGCUCGAUGUGUUUGUUUUAAUUAUGGGAUCGUACUCCCUGAUUUACCAGUCCCCACCAGUUCCUGUUUACUGCCCCCAUCCUGCCUCACUUGUUUAUGUCCCUGCCUGGUCUGUGACAUCCUUUGUGUGUGCAGCUCAGUCAGGCUGGGGCUGCAGAGCUCAGAACUGCUGGAGGCAGUUGGGGAUUGAGAGGGAGGAGACGGUGAGAGGAGAUGGGCACGUGGGAUGGUGCCAAGGGUGGAUGUUGUUGGUACCCACCUCACAUUCUCCCCACCCACUUCUGAUUUCAGCCAUAGCUAUGCUGGUCAGUGCCAUGGGAAUGUGUUCCAACCCAAUUCACCUCAAACAGGACCUCAUAUUUCUCUCAAGCUUUCUGCCCCAGGAACUUCUCCAAGGAGAAGGUGCUCAGCCCUCCAACACACCCCCCUCCACACACACACACCAAGCAUGGUGCAGAAGUCUGGGUGAGUUUAUGCCCCCUGAGCCAAUCGGGGACAGACGUCUGUGAAUAAAUACCCUGGAAGAAUAACUCUGGGGGCCAUUCUGUGUCCAGCUCAGAGGGCCU